UUAUGGCCAUAUCAUGAUGAAACACCAGUUCCCAUGUGAUCACCAAGGUUAAAAAACAUUGAGCCUGAUCAGUACCUAGAUGGGUGACCACUCUGUAUUACCAG